UUGUCACUCUUGACUUUCCUACCUCUAGAGUGCUUGCUGUUGGCCAAUAGCGGGUCUCCAUUCGGUAUAGGCCGGAAGCCUGGCGCGCUAUCGCUCAAACUUCCGGUCCGGACCCGCCAUUUUGUUCGUGCUCGCUGAGGGAGAAGGUCGCAUCAUGUCCUUGCAGUUGCUGAGGAAGGGGCUGAGGCUCUCCGGCCUGGCUGCCCAGCCGACCAGGGGCAUCGCCACCAAGCCGCCUCGGGAUCCCGUGGGCCCCGUGGGGACUGUCAUUGGCCUGAGCACCUUCUUCUUGGCAUUUAUGGUACCAUCGGGAUGGGUCCUGGCCAACCUGGAAAGCUACAAAAACCGAGGAUGAGAAGGACCAAGAAGACCAUGCUGAAGCCCAGAAGAACAGGCAUAGUCUCUUCAAAGAUGCAUGACUUCUCCCAUUCCAGGGAACGGUGUUUUCCCAUAAGGACUAGUGUCCUGAAAUAUGCUCAGUGCUGCUACUCGCAUAGAGACUUUCCAAAAUCUGUUACAAUAAAUUAUACUACAAAGCUGUA